AACGAACGCUGGCGGCAUGCCUAACACAUGCAAGUCGAACGGGAUCUUCGGGUCUAGUGGCGCACGGGUGCGUAACGCGUGGGAAUCUGACCUUUGGUUCGGAAUAACAGUUGGAAACGACUGCUAAUACCGGAUGAUGACGAAAGUCCAAAGAUUUAUCGACAGAGGAUGAGCCCGCGUACGAUUGGCUAGUUGGUGUGGUAAAGGCGCACCAAGGCGACGAUCCUUAGAUGGUCUGAGAGGAUGAUCAGCUACACUGGGACUGAGACACGGCCCAGACUCCUACGGGAGGCAGCAGUGGGGAAUAUUGGACAAUGGGCGAAAGCCUGAUCCAGCAAUGCCGCGUGAGUGAUGAAGGCCUUAGGGUUGUAAAGCUCUUUUACACGGGAUGAUAAUGACAGUACCGGGAGAAUAAGCUCCGGCUAACUCCGUGCCAGCCGCCGCGGUAA
rnacentral:rRNA from 1 species